CUCGUAGGCGGUUCAGUAAGUCGGGUGUGAAAGCUCCGAGCUCAACUCGGAGAGGCCACCCGAUACUGCUGUGACUUGAGUCCAGUAGAGGAGCGUGGAAUUCCUGGUGUAGCGGUGAAAUGCGCAGAUAUCAGGAGGAACACCAGCAGCGAAGGCGGCGCUCUGGGCUGGAACUGAGCUGAGGAGACGAAAGCGGUGGGUAGACAAACA
rnacentral:rRNA from 1 species